UGUGGUUUAGGUGUUGGUAACAAGCAGUGAUAUGAGAGGACGCACAGAGAGGGAGGAGCAACACUGUCAAAGAGCAGAGCAGAAAAGACCUCCUGCUGUGCUGCAUUCAAUAUCUACAGCAGACCUCAGAUAGUGUCUGUAAGAUGUUCCCUCUGCGUCACGCUGGAGUCUGGCCUUUGUUUCUCUUCAUCCUGAAAGGUGUCAGCUGUGAUGAACUGACUCCAGACAAGACUGCAGAGUUCAGUGUAGAAGGCAGCUCUGUUACUCUGUCCUACAAGUUCUCCAGGACAAUAACUGGUACUGAUUAUUUCUACUGGUAUCGACAGAAUCCAGGACAAGCUCCAGAGUUCCUCCUCUCACACUCUGCUUCAGGACAAAUACUAGCUGCUCCAACCUCUGGACUGAAGAUUGAAGUGGAGCAGAACCAAAUCCACAUGAUCAUCUCUGCUGCAGUGACAGACUCUGCUGUGUACUACUGUGCUGUGAAGCCCACAGUGACAGGAAACUACACAACUCUGUACAAAAACCUGUGGAGCAAACACACAACUCCUCAUCCUCCACUAGAGGGAGUCACUCACUGUUAAACCUCAGUGUUUCUUAUGAUCCAGUCCAGAUUCUGUGUUGUGAUGAUUAAACAGACGAAUGACCAGCAGAUUAUUUUCUUUAUAAAAUAACAGAAAGUCUCAAAGAUGACGAGAUGCUGAGUCAUGUUCACUGUGUCAUGUGUUGUUAUACUUGAGGCAUCGACCUAUAUUGUCCCGUCUCUGCUGUUUUAUCUUUAAAGUGGAAACUGGUUAAAAACCACAAUUGGACAAAUCACAAGACGUAUAAUACUGAACUCUACUGUUGCAGUUUCAUCGGUUUCCCUGAAGCUGGAGUCGUCUCCACGUACGAAUCGUUUCACAGCAGUAACAGGUGGUUAGCUGGCCCCGCCCACUGACGUCCAACUGGACCAAUGAGAUUGUUGGAGUGUCCAGUGCAGAGAUGUUGGAGGAAGUCAAAGCACAAUGAGCUGGAUGUUGAGGACGACUGUGCAGCAGAGAGGCUGCUGAGUGGUUUCAUUCUCCUGCAGUGGAAGAACAUUGUUCAUCUGUUUGGCUUCAACU